CGGACGGGUGAGUAACGCGUGAGUAACCUGCCUUAGAGAAGGGAUAGCCUUUGGAAACGAAGAAUAAUACCCUAUAACACCAACACCUCGCAUGAAGAGUUGGUCAAAGAUUUAUCGCUCUAAGAUGGACUUGCGUCUGAUUAGUUAGUUGGUGAGGUAACGGCCCACCAAGACAGCGAUCAGUAGCCGGCUUGAGAGAGUGUACGGCCACAUUGGGACUGAGACACGGCCCAGACUCCUACGGGAGGCAGCAGCA
rnacentral:rRNA from 1 species